rnacentral:rRNA from 1 species
UAAGCAUAUCAAUAAGCGGAGGAAAAGAAACCAACAGGGAUUGCCCUAGUAACGGCGAGUGAAGCGGCAACAGCUCAAAUUUGAAAUCUGGCUUUCGGGCCCGAGUUGUAAUUUGUAGAGGAUACUUUUGAUGCGGUGCCUUCCGAGUUCCCUGGAACGGGACGCCAUAGAGGGUGAGAGCCCCGUCUGGUUGGAUGCCAAAUCUCUGUAAAGUUCCUUCGACGAGUCGAGUAGUUUGGGAAUGCUGCUCUAAAUGGGAGGUAUAUGUCUUCUAAAGCUAAAUAUUGGCCAGAGACCGAUAGCGCACAAGUAGAGUGAUCGAAAGAUGAAAAGCACUUUGAAAAGAGAGUUAAAAAGUACGUGAAAUUGUUGAAAGGGAAGCGUUUAUGACCAGACUUGGACUUGGUUAAUCAUCUGGGGUUCUCCCCAGUGCACUUUUCCAGUUCAGGCCAGCAUCAGUUUUCGCCGGGGGAUAAAGGCAGCGGGAAUGUGGCUCUCUUCGGGGAGUGUUAUAGCCCGUUGUGUAAUACCCUGGUGGGGACUGAGGUUCGCGCUUCUGCAAGGAUGCUGGCGUAAUGGUCAUCAACGACCCGUCUUGAAACACGGACCAAGGAGUCGUCUUCGUAUGCGAGUGUUCGGGUGUCAAACCCCUACGCGUAAUGAAAGUGAACGCAGGUGAGAGCUUCGGCGCAUCAUCGACCGAUCCUGAUGUUCUCGGAUGGAUUUGAGUAAGAGCAUACGGGGCCGGACCCGAAAGAAGGUGAACUAUGCCUGUAUAGGGUGAAGCCAGAGGAAACUCUGGUGGAGGCUCGCAGCGGUUCUGACGUGCAAAUCGAUCGUCAAAUAUGGGCAUGGGGGCGAAAGACUAAUCGAACCUUCUAGUAGCUGGUUUCCGCCAA